rnacentral:sRNA from 1 species
AAGCAGAUGAUUGGGAAACAGAUCCCGA